GUCUCAGGUAAUUGAGUCUCUGUUUUCAUUUAGUGUGGCUGAUUACAUCUCUCCUCAGGUUUAUGCUUGAAGGUUCAGACCGUGGCACCAGCUUCAGUUUGAUUGGUCGUUUUGGGACUAGAAAGACUCGGACAUCCAUCUCAAAGGGCACCUGUCUCCUUACACACAGAGAAGCUAUAUCUCUGGAGGAUCUCCACCACUGCCAGUUUCAUCACCAGCAGAGCAAAUCGCGUCCCUAUGCAGUUCCUUGGUCCUGCCCCGAAAGGCAU